rnacentral:rRNA from 1 species
GCUUGCUUUCUGGAUCAGUGGCGAACGGGUGAGUAACACGUGAGCAAUCUGCCCCUGACUCUGGGAUAACAGUUGGAAACAGCUGCUAAUACUGGAUACGAACUGCGAUCGCAUGGUCGGCAGUUGGAAAGAAUUUCGGUCAGGGAUGAGCUCGCGGCCUAUCAGCUUGUUGGUGAGGUAAUGGCUCACCAAGGCGUCGACGGGUAGCCGGCCUGAGAGGGUGACCGGCCACACUGGGACUGAGACACGGCCCAGACUCCUACGGGAGGCAGCAGUGGGGAAUAUUGCACAAUGGGCGGAAGCCUGAUGCAGCAACGCCGCGUGAGGGAUGACGGCCUUCGGGUUGUAAACCUCUUUUAGCAGGGAAGAAGCGAAAGUGACGGUACCUGCAGAAAAAGCGCCGGCUAACUACGUGCCAAGC